UAUACUACUGUUCAAAAGAACAUAGUGAGUGCGAAAGCGUUGCAUAGGUUACUCUUUGGGCAUAGUGCUUCUGAUAAGUGUGAGUAUUGACCAGAAUCAGAGUCUGUCACAUAAACACUCAGAAAACAACGUUAGAGUACCAUAAUUGUUCGUACACAAUAGUUAACAUGUAAUCAUCAAAACAUAGAGUUGUACUACAUGAUCAAAUAUUG
rnacentral:lncRNA from 1 species